UCUUUAACUGCCCACUCCUUACCGAAUGUUCAAACAGUGAGGAGGUUAGGAGUGGGGCUCUUCUGCUACUGUUUGGAAACCUUGGGUAGAACUUUUGGAUCAGCAUGGCAUGUAGGAGAGAUGGAUAUUUAGAUGUCCAGAUCAGAUGCCGAAUCGGCAGUCAUUGGAGGGCACCGAAGAACCAGCACAACCCAUCCCACCAAAACCCAAAGAACCCUCUGCCUCCCGCAAUCUCCCUUCAUGAACCUCCCACUAUGCCCUUCCUCUUACAGCAACUUUCUCCUCCCACUAUCUUCCACAACCCUCCAUCUCCUUCCAUGUGCUCCACCCACCCACUCAAAUCACUUUGCUCACAAACAGGCACUUCAGGCAGUUUCAUUAUUAUGUGCAGACCACACCUCACCCCAUACAGCCACCCUGUUUCCAGGAGGGAAUGGACCUUGUCUGGUGACCCCAGCCCCCCUCGUCCCACAUGCCCUGGCCAGAGGGCAACCCCUCUUUGCAUGAGCUUCUUGUGCCACCUGCCCCAACCAACAGCAUAGCUUUCUUGUCAGAAGGUGAGGAACCCAAUCUCCCCAGGGACCUCUACUAUCUCCACCACCUCCUCCUUCUCCUGCCAUGAAGGUGGGACACUCUGAAAGUAAAUGCCCCUCUUUUUUAGAAUACAAAAAUCAGGGUGGGAGAUACGGGCUGGUCUGGGGGACUGGCUUUGCAACCAGCAUUACAGGUGUGAGUUCAGCCAGCAACUAGGAUGACAUAGGAGGAUGACAUUUCCAAUCCUCAACAAGAGGGAUUCAACGGUCAGACCUUUGUCAUAAUCUCUUGUUGCAGCCCUGGUAACUGGUGUAAGGGGGAAGAAAAACUGUCCUCCAGGUCCAAAUGGAUAGCUGAAGAGAUCUCAAUUUCUUGGUGUGUAAUUCAUUAAAAAGAAGGUGAUGUA